UAGUCAUAUGCUUGUUUCAAGGACUAAGCCAUGCAUGCCUCAGAAUAACUGCACUGCAGGAGUCUGCGCAUGGCUCAUUACAUCAGACGCAAUCUGCCGCAAAAAUGUUGCGGAAACGCAUUAUUGGAUACCUUGUGCGAAACGCCAAGCUAAUACAUGAACUAAAGGGAUCGUCCCGUUCCACACGCCGUAGGCUUGCCGAAAGCGUGGUGGCCGACCCUGCGGAUGAAUGAAAGUACAAACCAACGCCCUUCACCGGGCAGUAAUACGGAGAAGUGCUGAAUCAAUUCAUCUUUGCGUAAGCUGGCCUAGCCAGCGUCUUUUGACGAACAACUGCCCUAUCAGCCAGUGAUGGCCGUGUAGUGGACUGCCAUGGCGUUGACGGGAGCGGGGGAUUAGGGUUCGAUUCCGGAGAGGGAGCCUGAGAAAUGGCUACCACUUCUACGGAGGGCAGCAGGCGCGCAAAUUGCCCAAUGCCAAAACAAAUGAUGAGGCAGCGAAAAGAAAUAGGUGCCCCAAAUACCUCGUGUGUUUGGGGCUUUCAAUGGGGGAUAUUUAAAACCAUCCAACAUCGAGUAACAAUU
rnacentral:rRNA from 1 species